rnacentral:rRNA from 1 species
CCUACGGGAGGCAGCAGUGAGGAAUAUUGGUCAAUGGGCGCGAGCCUGAACCAGCCAAGUAGCGUGAAGGAUGACUGCCCUACGGGUUGUAAACUUCUUUUAUAAAGGAAUAAAGUGAGGCACGUGUGCCUUGUUGUAUGUACGUUAUGAAUAAGGAUCGGCUAACUCCGUGCCAGCAGCCGCGGUAAUACGGAGGAUCCGAGCGUUAUCCGGAUUUAUUGGGUUUAAAGGGAGCGUAGAUGGGUUGUUAAGUCAGUUGUGAAAGUUUGCGGCUCAACCGUAAAAUUGCAAUUGAUACUGGCAGUCUUGAGUACAGUUGCGUUCGGCGUCUUUCGUGUUGUAGCG